rnacentral:lncRNA from 1 species
UCUUCUUGCAUUGGGAGAAGAGAAGUCGAUGGAAGUCAUUGGAAGUCAUUCAGUAGCACGACUGUAUAGAUUAUAUUUAUCUAUUCAAAACCAGUUUAUGUACAUGAACAGUGACUCUAGUCGUUAUGUCUAAAACGUGAUCAUAAAGUUAUGUUUGGUAAAAAUCAGAAAGCUCAAAAAUAUUGAUAUUUUAAUUUAAUAUAAAUAAUAAUUAAAAUAAUAAACUUUAAACGAAAACUUCGUUGUAUAGUCAAUACAAACAUAAUGAGUCAUUACAGAAGAUUACGUAAAUGUAAAAAAUUACAUGAGCGUAAGAAAACAUGUGGGAAAAAUUGUAAGGCUAAAAGCCAAAUGUCAACACGUGGUUUUACCAUAAAGGAUAACGAGGAAUACUAUCAUGCUUAUGAUGAUGAAGCUACGUCGAUUGACUUUAUUAAUGAUGAUUGCCUGGUUGAAAUAUUCAUGUAUCUGCCAGCAUGUGAAAGACCAAAAAUUGCUUUGGUAUGCAAGAAAUGGAAAAAAGCUCUCGAUUAUUCUUGGUCGAAUGUAAACAAACUUGAACUAACUCAUUGGGAAUAUAAUGAGUGUCCAAGUUAUUUGAAAGAAUAUCCAACAAUCGAUGGACAAUUCAAUUUUUUAAGUUUCCUGCUUACUAAAUGUGGUCGUUAUUUAACAGAAUUAGAUUUGACAGCCCAUGAUAUUGUAAUAUAGUGCCAGUUAUUAAUGAAUCUUGUUAUAAUCUCGUAAAACUUCGGAUAAGAUUCAAGUAUAAUAUUGAACAUGAAUUAUUAGUUGAUGCGUUUUCACGUUUAUCUAAACUGAAAGUAUUAAAAAUUAUAUUUCAAUAUAUUAAUAAUACUCAAUAUAUUCCUGUUAAUUUAAUCAAUUCAUUGAAAAGCAUUGCUGGUACAUUAACUGAGCUGACUCUGUCAAAUUGGGACAAAGAAAAACUUCGUCAAAGCUUGAAAAUCCCAAAAACAUUCACUCGUGUUAUUCCUAAAUUAAAGGCUUUGAAAUCAUUUGAAAUUAAUGAUAUACAAAUUGAUAGGAAUAUAUCCAUGCAUCUAGAACAACUUGGAGUAUUAGUCAUAAGUUACGAUAAUUAUUACCUUGAAAACAUUGAGUACCGCACAGAACUGUAUACAAAUAUUAAGGAUUUAGAUUUAAUAGAAUAUCAAGUUACUAAUGAUUCUAUAUAUACUAUAGUCAAUUGCAUGGAGCAUUUAGAAAGAGUGCUGUUUUCGGCCCAACGGAUAACGGAUGCUGGUAUAGUAGCUAUUUCGAAGAUGAAUAAUUUAAAAUCUCUUCUUCUUCACGGCCAUAGUGACGUCACUGAUUCUUCAAUUAAAUUACUUAAAAAUUUAGAAGGUUUAGAAUUACCAUUCAGCAAUAAAAUUACUGAUGUUUCAGUCACGGAAAUUCUUGAAAAUUCACCCAACAUGAAGAUCUUUUUCAUUGUAGAAUCAGCUGUAACUCUUGAUUUUAUAAAAAAAGCAGCAGAAAUUGCAGAAAAAAGAAAAAAAGUAUUGCAGUUAGGCUUUCCAGUAACACCUGGUAUAAAACAAUAUGAAUCGCGAUAUUUAGAACUAUGUCUAAUCCGCAAUUACAAGUCAUCAAAACAAACUGUGUAUAUGUCGAAAAGCGUUAUUAAUAACUGACAAUUAAUUUCGAAAAUAAAGUAAAUAAACAAAAUCCCUCGUUAUUUAAAUUUGGCUCUUCUUUUAGCCUUUUAGGGUCUUCGUUUUUUUUUUUUUAUUUAUUUAAAAUACUAAUAUUAUUGUUUUUAAAAUAAAAAUAAGAAAACAAACAUUAUAUAAAUAAA